ensembl:lncRNA
AAAUGAGCAAACAUAGUAAGAGUAAGCAAUUUUAAAUGGUAGAAGAACAAGAUACAAGCUGGCACCUUGAUGCAGCCACAUAAGGCGUGCUUUUGAUUAAUGCCUCAUCAGACUUCCCAUCCUCCAGGGCAGAGUGGAUAUCCAGGGAAGUGGUGGGUAACCAUCACUGUGUAAGGAGCUUGCUGUAACUCCACCAAUCUGGUACCCAGCUCAAUUGCAUGAGGAAAUCACCAAGCAGUGUAAUGUUCUGGAAGUGGAGAGAGAAACUGAUGUGCAGUAUCACAGAGUGAUGUGGGUAGACCAAUAGCCUUUUCUUAAGACCCUGCAAGGAAAGAAGCUAAGCAAGUUUCCAACCUUGAGAAGUCAGACAAAAAAAAGAUAUAAGACGAGGGAGACUGGAUACUUGUCUCCACUCAGAGUAGAAGGAGAAGCCUCCCCCUUACCCAUGAAGUGCCCCAAAGGACACUUCAGUCUUUCUGCUUUUCAGGCCAGCAAGGGAGUUGGGGGGCACACAGCAGUGACAACUAUCCUUCUGCAUGUUCUCAUUACUUCUAAGCAGUAUUUGGAAGUAGAUACUAAGUCAUAUGUCUUAGAUUUUGGUAAUUUUCUAUGUCAUGAAUUAAAAGUUCUGGUUGAUUUUGAACAGAGAUAGAACAAAAGUUAAUAAAAGCAUUGAAGUUUUUGGUUUCUGCACAAAGAGGUUCUAAUAUACUAUCUCUAAAUCAGUUUGUUUGGUUUACAAUUCUGAUCAAAUGAUUUUAAAGAAAAUAACCUUGUCAUUUGCACAUAUAUUCUCCUUUUCUUUCUUCUGAGUAACAGCUGCUUCCUUCCAAGUCCAACUCAAACUUAUGGUGAUAUAUACUGCCACUGUCUUACAGCCAAAAUAACUAUGAAAAGAGAGAUGUUUAAUCUGAAAAAUGCAUCAACAGGAUUGCCAGUGAAAUUCUGACUCCAGACUGUUUAUAUCAGCGAUGAAGUAGGAAGUGGAAUGAACACAGCUUGAAUUUCAGAUAAAUCACUAGGCAUGCUGUGUGGGCUGUUAGAAAAAUCUUGCUUUGACUUAUUAACUGAGCACAUCUGAUCUGGAAGCUUCAACAGAAAAUAAAUAAGGAGAAUCAAGAUGUCAUUUUCACAUAAACACUUUUCCAACCAUGCUUUGCAUGGCUGUUUUAAAGACAUGCUGUUUCUUCUCUUAAUUGUAUGUUUUAUUGUAUGUUAUUGUAUGUAUUGUAUUGUAUUUUCUCCUAAAAGUAAACAUGUUUCUCUAUUUAUGGAAUAAUCAAGAAGAAAAAAAAAAGAAUAAAAAAAGAAAAGGAAUUGAAGAAAGCUUU